AAUAGAAACCUGCAGUCUGACACCGGCAUUCUGUUUAUCUGUCUCUCUCAGCAACACUCAACCUCACUCUCCCUCUCUCUCUUCUAGGAUAGGCGGCGUCAGUCAAGCCAACACUGUGCUGGUGUUGAACAAAGUUUAAACUUACCAACCAUUUUGGGACCAGAACCUUUUCUGAACCGGGUCCGAUGGAGCAGAAAGACUGAAAACGCCUGUGAAAUCUCAGUGGUGUGAAACAGUCUUUCACUUUGAAACCAAACACUCAACAACUAGAGAAACAGUCCCCAGCCUGGACUCUGACCAAUCAGAACCAGGAUCUCCUUAAGAAGUCUGGACCAAGUCUGUACAAAUCCUGAUCCUGAGAGAUCUGAGGGUUAAUGGUUCCUCCAGAGACAGACAGACAACAAAAUAAUGAGCAGUAGAAUAACCAGAGGAGGAAGAGAAGGGAGGGAGGUCUUCCUCAGUGCUCACCGUUGCCCUGAAGUUGAUGUGCUGCCACAACAUCACUGCGAGUCCCAAAUCCAUCCGCCAAGUUCAGGAGUUUCUGCAGAGAAAAUCUCUGAGUUCACCUGUGUGGGUACAAAUGAGGCAGAUUACCUGGACAUCAGUUCCACCUGUUGCAAUGAGGAAGAGGAAGAAGAGGACGGGGGGAGCAUCAGUGAUUGGUCAGAGGAAGAUCUCUCCCUCCACUUCUCUCCCUCGGUCAUUCUCCAAUCAGAUGAAGAGUCUGAUCCUGAGAGUGGGUUUGAAUGUGUUGACGUUGCCAUGGAAACACAGAUGAAAGGACAGGAGGGGGAGGGGCUGAAGAUGGUCCCUAAACGCCAGAUUCAGUUGAGGAAGAAGGACACUGAUAAUGUCACGGACCAGGAGAUACUGAAGGACGGCCCUGCUGAAAGGGGAGUCCUUAGUAAAGAUCUUUCAGCAAAUGAACUCCUUUGUUCCACAGCCUGUCACCGUCCUGAUGUGUUACUACGGCAACACAGUAUGCCUGCCUCCUUCCACACACACUCAACGACCGGCAAUGAUGGUGACAACUACAGGGUCUACAGGGGCCUUGUAACAGGGGCCAGUCAAGGGCUCCUGGUUGGUGGAAACUCGCGCCGUCUUCAGAAAUCUUUGUCUCUAGAUGAAACCAAAACCAAGAUGGCAUCCUGUAUCAUUAAAAACAUUCUGUCUAAGAAGAUGCAGGUGGAGCAGACUGGCAGUAAAACGCCUCAGUUGAAGAAUAAACCUGAACCUGUUCUCGCUCCAGCUGCAGAGCAGCAGGGGGGGAAGCCAGGCGUGUUUAAAGCGCCAGUUCAUGUCGUGAGAGACAUGAGGAGUGUAGUGAAAAACACCUACAGCCUCUCCUUCACACCCACAACCACAACAUCUGCAACAACAACAACAGCAAAGCCUGAAAACAAUAGGCCAACAGGCAUCAAGAUGAUAAGCCAGGAGGACAGCCCUCCCCCCACAUACCAGCAGGCUGUGGGGGUCAAAAGCCAUGUUGCCAAGUCAGGCAAUCAUGUCAGGCAAUCAUGCAACUGGAAACCAGUCGACGUGUUUACUUGUCCAAUCAUACAGCAGAGACAAGGAAGCCAGCCAAUCAUUAGCAGAGAUGAAGGUGAUGAUAUCACCGGGUCAGUCAUGCCGCCCUCGAUCCUACCUACGGGCAGUAACCUGUCAAAGCUCAGCCAAUCAGAAAGCCCUGUGACUUCCAUCCCCUCUGCUGUCUUCAUCCAGCCUCCCCCUCCUCCACUCCAGGGGACACAGCCUCAUCUCUCUGCCCAGGAACAGAGCUCCAUCUCACAGAUGUCCCCCCACUCAGUCGCUGUCUCAUCCCAGCAGAUCCUUUACCCUUGCUUUAACACCCUUCAUUCACACCCCGGGAAGGUCAGCUACAUCCACAACCCCCAAAACAACAUUCAUAGCCAGCUGCAGCACCCAGCUGCCAGCCUCCACCUGCUGAAGAGCUCCAAGGAGAACCACAAGAAGUCAGCGGGAAACUACUCCGACCAGCAUGCCCAAACUACAGGACACCAGAAGGGACUCAGCAGCUCAGUGAGACCAACAUCACAGGAGCUGCACAUGCAGCAAGUGCAAAAACAGCAGCAACUUCAGCUGCAGUCGUUUCUAUGGAAUGUUCAGGGUUUCUGUCCUACACAGGUGGGGGGUGACUUCCUUGUUGACAUCACUGGUUCUGCUGCAGCACCUGCAGCCCUCCUCAGUGUCCCUGUCCCUAGUCAGUUGAUGUUAGAUCACAAAAGUGGCCGGUGCUUUUAUGUGGACAUGCCUCCACAGCCUCAGAGGAAGACGCUGCUGGAUCCAGAAACCGGUCAGUUCAUCCAGGUGUUGCUACCUGCAGCUAGGUCAACCUCCAACACCACUGUGCUCCCGGUGCACAGCAGUAACCCCACCCCUGCCACGAUGAUCCCCCCUCCAGCUGUUUUCCAGGUGGGCAGCACUAAGCCCACUGUCCUCACAGUGCUGCCCUGUCAGACACCAGUAGCCGUGUCCUCUCUGUACAGCCCCACUUACCUUCCCAUCACCGUGAUAACAUCACUCAAACAGCCCAGUGAUGACAUCACACCCACAGCCCUGUAACGCCACUUUUGCAUAGACUGACAGAAGAAAACACCAAAAUUUUAAAUGCUGAAAUAUUCAGAGUGAGGCUGAACGUUGUCACUGUAUUUAUUGAUAACUGAUUUUCUGUAUAUUUGUAUUCUUUGCACAUUGUUUUACGUAAGUUUUUUAGGUAUUUGAUCAAUUUGUGUACACAAGAUGCUUUUUACAGAUUUUGUUCUUGAAGUUUACAAAUUGAAACAUUUAUCAUACUCGAAGAAAGGACGCGAGUUUGUUUCGAGGACAGACGCUUUCACUGAUUUUCUGAUUUUCUAAAACAUUUUAUUGUGUGUGUGUGGCAUCGUAUGAAGCAAUCGAUCAACACGUUUAUAUAAGUGACAUCUAUUCACUUGCAACAGAAUUAUCUUUAUUAAAUUAAAAAUAAUAUUUUGCAGUUGAAAUUGUCGCGUCUCACUCGUUAGAAAUAAAUGUUGUGUUAUCAGAUUUUGUGAUGUUGUA
rnacentral:lncRNA from 1 species